UGGGGAAUUUUGGACAAUGGGGGCAACCCUGAUCCAGCAAUGCCGCGUGUGUGACGAAGGCCUUCGGGUUGUAAAGCACUUUUGGUGGGAACGAAACGGCGCCGGCUAAUACCUGGCGCUAAUGACGGUACCCGCAGAAUAAGCACCGGCUAACUACGUGCCAGCAGCCGCGGUAAUACGUAGGGUGCAAGCGUUAAUCGGAAUUACUGGGCGUAAAGCGUGUGCAGGCGGUUUUGCAAGACAGAUGUGAAAUCCCCGGGCUCAACCUGGGAACUGCAUUUGUGACUGCAAGGCUAGAGUGCGUCAGAGGGAGGUGGAAUUCCGCGUGUAGCAGUGAAAUGCGUAGAGAUGCGGAGGAACACCGAUGGCGAAGGCAGCCUCCUGGGAUGACACUGACGCUCAUGCGCGAAAGCGUGGGGAGCAAACA
rnacentral:rRNA from 1 species